rnacentral:rRNA from 1 species
UGCCAGCAGCCGCGGUAACACGAACCGUGCGAACGUUAUUCGGAAUCACUGGGCUUAAAGAGUGCGUAGGCGGCUUGGCAGGUGGGGUGUGAAAUCCCUCAGCUCAACUGAGGAACUGCGCUCCAAACCGCUAGGCUUGAGGAAGAUAGAGGUGAGCGGAACUGAUGGUGGAGCGGUGAAAUGCGUUGAUAUCAUCAGGAACACCAGAGGCGAAGGCGCAUCACUGGAUCUUUUCUGACGCUGAGGCGCGAAAGCGUGGGGAGCGAACAGGAUUAGAUA